UGGACCUCAACAAAAGAAAAAAGGAGGUCAAACAUAGUGUUUCAGUAUAUCCUCUGGUAUUUCACUUUUUCCUCCCACAGACAGGACUUGGCAUUUUCCUUUCUUGAACUUUAUAAGGAUUCUGUUGACUCAUUUCUCUAGACUGGCAAGGUCCCUUUGAAUGGCAGCAUACCCAUUUGAUGUAUCACCUACUCCUCCCAGUGUUGAGUAAUUUGCAAAGUUGCUGAGGGUGCAGUCUCAUCGUUCAGGCUGCUAAUGAAGAUGUUAUGUAGUAUUAACUCCUGGGUUACACCACUAGUGACUGGCCAGCUGGCCUCCAGCUUGACCUCAUGCCCCUGAUCACAACCCUCUGAGUCUGACAGUUCAGGUAGUUUUCAAUUCACCCCACUGUCCAUUUAUUUAGUCUUUAUUUCAUCAGUUUCUCUGUAAUGGUGUUAUGAGGGACAGUGUUGAAAGCCAACAUAAAUAAGAUCCACUGCUCUCCCUUCCUCCAACAAGUCACAUCUCAUCAUAGGGGAGGCACGAUCUUCACUUUGUAAAUCAAUGCUGACUGCUCCCCAACACCUUCUCCUUAAUAUGUUUGGGGAUCAUUCACAGCAUCCCUUUCCCAGGGUCUGAGGUGAGACUGCCUGCCCUGUAGAUUCUUGGAUCCUCCUUUUUGCCCCUCUCGAAGAAAGCAGUGACAUUUGGGUUUUUUCCAGUCCCCAGAACCUUCUCUGAUCACCGUCACCUUUCAGAGAUUAGUGAGAGUGGCCUCACAAUGACAUCAGCCCCAUGGUGUCAUAGCUUACAUAACUCAAAUCUAGAGGAAGCAACACAUUCCAUGAAUUGCAGGAUUGGCAGGGAGGAAGAAAACCAGUCCUUAAUUGUACAUGACUGUGAACUUUAGCCUUUGCAAUUAAGAUCAAGACUCAUUAAUGAACAUGGAAAAAUUACUCCAGCUACAGAAGCAAUUGUCUGAUAGUAGGAAGACAAGGAAAAGAUGCCUGAAAUUACAACCCAGUUAAAUGUGAUAAAUAAAAAUAUCAAUAAAAA